rnacentral:rRNA from 1 species
AUGCUCUCGAGCUCGUACGAUUAUAAAAUGGCGAGACAUACAUGCUCUGCUUGUGAUGCUCAUCGCGUGAUGAGUUUGUUUCUCCAUAGGAGAUCGGACAUGGAGUUUCCCCUGGUUGCUCUGUUUUUCAUGAUCUCGGCUAGGUGGUGCCUGGAGAUCGCUCAUGCCGGACGCCAGGUGUUCGACGUUAUGGACUUCGGCGCCAUUGCCGACGGAGAGACGGAUGACUCAAAGGCUUUCAUAAGGGCGUGGAUGAAGGCGUGCGCGUCGCCGGGGAGGCCGGCCGUCGUGGUCCCCAAGGGCGAGUACCGGCUCCAGCCAGUGGUCUUCCGCGGUCCGUGCAAGGGCUACAUGCAGGUGCGCCUCGCCGGCGACCUCCGCGCACCGGACGACCUGGCCGCGUUUCGGGGCAGCCACGAGUGGAUCAACUUCGCCAGCAUCGACGGGCUGCUCGUCACGGGCGGCGGCACAUUCGACGGCCGCGGCGCGUCGUCGUGGCACCUCAACCAGUGCCCAACGAAUCCGAACUGCAAGCCCCUCCCCGUCUCGAUAAAGCUCGGGCGCGUGAGGAACGUUACCAUCACGGGGGUGACGUCGCUGGACAGCAAGUUCUUCCACGUCAUCAUCAUCGGCAGCCAGGACGUGUCCAUCCAUCGCGUCACCAUCCGGGCGCCGCGGGACAGCCCCAACACGGACGGCGUCCACAUCCAGGGCUCCUCCAACGUGCGCAUCACCGACACGGCCAUCGCCACGGGGGACGACUGCAUCUCCGUCGGCCCGGGGACCGCCGACAUCACCGUGUCCGGGGUGUCCUGCGGACCCGGCCACGGCAUCAGCGUGGGCAGCCUCGGGAGGCACCCAGGCGAGGAGGACGUGCGCGGGCUGCGCGUGUCCAACUGCACCCUCGCCGGCACCGCCAACGGCGUACGCAUCAAGACUUGGCGCGGCGGGCUCCGUCCGGGCUCCGUCGUGUCCGGUCUCGUCUUCGAGGACAUCGUCAUGAGGAAGGUCCGGAACCCCAUCAUCAUCGACCAGGAGUACUGCCCCUACAGCUCCAGCUCCUGCCGCCAUGAAUCGGCGCAGCGGCCGUCCGUGGUGAAGAUAAGCGAUGUAAAGUUCAAGAACAUCAGGGGCGUGUCGGCGACCCAGGUCGCGGUGAAGCUGUCGUGCAGCGGCGCGAGCCCGUGCCAUGGACUGGAGCUCAGGGACAUCGACCUGACGUACGUCAAGCGCGGCGUCGCCACAGAGUCGCGGUGCGAAAACGUCGCCGGUGGUAUCGCCGGCGGCAUGCUCGUACCUCCCUCAUGUAUAUGA